GCCACCAGGGGGCGACAGCGACCGGCGACUACCGGGGACACCUGGGGGCGCAGCUGGAGCGGGCACAGCUGGAGGGGGCGCGGCGCCGGCGGGACCUGGAGCAGCGGCACCACCUCCUGCUGCAGCAGGACCUAUCGCGGGAGGAGGUGGGCGUGGCCUCGGCGGAGGCGGGGCCUGAGGCCCC